rnacentral:rRNA from 1 species
UACGAAGGGGGCUAGCGUUACUCGGAAUGACUGGGCGUAAAGGGCGCGUAGGCGGCGGUCGCAGUCAGAUGUGAAAUUCCUGGGCUUAACCUGGGGGCUGCAUUUGAUACGUGGUUGCUUGAGUGGGGAAGAGGGUCGUGGAAUUCCCAGUGUAGAGGGUGAAAUUCGUAGAUAUUGGGAAGAAACACCGGUGGCGAAGGCG